rnacentral:rRNA from 1 species
UACAAAGUCUACCGAGUUACUCCACGUCUCGUUAGGUAACUACUUGGUCCAGUAGAAACUGAUACAACACCGGUCAACCCUUCUGACGUGUUAUUAUUCGUUUCGUAUCGGAGUUUAGACCACCGUAUGAGGACAUCGAAUCGAGCUUAGAACGUUCCCUAUUGGUGUGAGCCCUUCUUUACCUGAAGUAUUAUUAUCUGGUCUAUGAGGUAAGGUACUUAAAAAAGGUACAUUAUCGUAGAGCCCUUCUUUUUACAUCUUACCUACGUAUGAGAACUCGAUGAUUACCAUGUGGCGUCGUGAACGAACGCUAGAGGGCAGGUUAGAAGAGGUUGAGAAGAAGAGGAGGAAGCUUUGGCUACCUAAAGAACUAAUAAAGGGUUGUACACAGUAGUGAGUUGGCUAAAUCGGACAUGCCGAGUUGACAUGUCUACAAGGAUCGCUACCGAACCAACCUACACCAAUGAUAAUGCAGGUAGAACAGAGGGUUCUUUCAAUUGUACCUGAAGUUGUCGACAUUGACUUACCUUAGGAGGAGGGUGUCCAGUAGGUUAUAUUCCUCGUGGAAGAAUGCUACU